GAUGAACGCUGGCGGUAUGCUUAACACAUGCAAGUCGUACGGGUUAGAUUUAUCUAAUUUAGUGGCGGACGGGUGCGUAACACGUAAGAACCUACCUUUUGGAGGGGGAUAACAUUGGGAAACUGAUGCUAAUACCCCGUAAUACUGAGGAGUUAAAAGCGGGUAUCUCGCAAGAGAGCUACGCGCCAAGAGAGGGGCUUGCGGCUGAUUAGCUAGUUGGGGGGGUUAAAGGCUUCCCAAGGCCACGAUCAGUAGCUGGUCUGAGAGGACGAUCAGCCACACUGGGGACUGAGACACGGCCCAGACUCCUACGGGGAGGCAGCAGUGAGGAAUUUUUCCGCAAUGGGGCGCAAGCCUGACGGAGC
rnacentral:rRNA from 1 species